rnacentral:lncRNA from 1 species
AGUGUAUCUUUAUAACUUAUAUAAGUUAAUAAACUUACGGUUGGGCUUAAGUUACGUUUGGGCUUAAGUUACACAGUGGGCUUAAGUUACGCUUUGAAUAUAUAUCACCAUAAAACCAUAAAAUCAAAAAAAAUCAAAAAACUAAACAAAACAAGAGCUUCCCGGUUUAUGUAAAACUGUGCGGGGUAAAAGUUAGGGCAGGGGCGAAGAGUUUUGAACCACCACCACUGCCGUAAUCUCUCUCUCGAUCUCCUUCUCUCUUCGGCGACCAGGUAUCUCUCUCUCUCUCUCUCUCUCUCUCUCUUUCUCUCUCUCUUCCUCUUUGAUAUCAACUGUUAUUUUUUUUUUUUUAAAUUCAAAACUUUGUGUGAUGAACAAUGAUGUUUUAGGAUUUGAAAACUCUCCAAAGCUG